rnacentral:tRNA from 1 species
GUUUUAAUAAUUUAACUCUAAAAUAUUGAUUUUGUAAAUCAAAAAUAAGACUUCUUUUAAAAUA